CCUCUCUCAGGAUCUCACCUGGAGAGUUCCCAGUACUCUACCAGUCUCGACUGUGAGAGGGACAGUCAAGCAGAGGCCUAGCCAUUCCAUUCCUAGCUCGGCCAGUGGCUAGCGAGUGGAAGGCAAGCUGUUAUAAGU